CGCUCCGACCCCGACGCUCGUCGCGCCGCUCCCACCCUCCGCCCCACCCAUGACGCCAGGUAUCAUACAGCUGAUUGAAGGAUCUUUUCUUAAGGAAGUUAAUAACUGUGUUUUGCUCAAGUGAGUUCUACAUUAUGUCUCUCACCAUACUCUUCCUUAUUUCAUUAUGCAUAUUCAAUCACACACUACAUUGUCUGGUCCUUUAACUGAGGGCAACCGUAAGGCUGAUAAAGCCUCAGUUGCCUUUGCUUCCUCUCAAUUAUUUCAGCAAGCACGACUCUCCCAUCAAUUUUUCCAUCAGAAUAGGAAAGCCUUACAAAAACAAUUCCAAUUGACAGUGGAUCAGGCCUGUAACAUUAUUCUAACAUGCCCAGAGUGCCAGACAGUUGCCCCUUUGCCUCAAAUUGGGACAAAUCCCCGUGGCACAGGACCUCUUCAGUUGUGACAGACAGAUGUCACUCAUGUUCCCGAAUUUGGCCAUCUAAAAUAUGUACAUGUAACAAUAGAUACUCAUUCUUCUUACAUAUUUGCCACAGCACAUACAGGUGAACGGAGUCGCGAUGCCUGUAAACACUGGUUAUCUGCUUACGCUGCUAUUGGGAUCCCAAAUACUAUAAAAACAGAUAAUGGACCUGCAUAUACUCAUAAGGCCACUUGAACUUUCUUCCAAGAGUGGGGGGUUAGACAUAUUACAGGCAUUCCUAAUUCUCUCACUGGACAAGCUAUCGUUGAGUGUACUCAUCAAACAUUGAAAUCCAUUCUGAGUAAACAAAAAAGGAGGAAUACAGGAGAACACCACAAGAAAGAUUAUGUAAGGCUUUGCUUGUGCUGAAUUUUUUGAAUUGUGAUCAUACAGAAUCUCAUGUGGAUUGCCAUUUUGGGGCUUCCCCAGUGCUCAAGGAACAGUCAAUGGUCAACGUUCAUAAUAUGGCCACAGGGCAUUGGGAAGGUCCCUUACCACUGAUAACCUGGGGUCAUGGAUAUGCUUGUGUCCACAAGCUAGUCCACAGGGACUAGCCCUACGUGGGUUCCAGCACAAUAUGUCCAGCCUCAUCUCAAGGCAGAAAAUAGCAUCCAGCCCUUAUAAUGACUGGGUCUGUGUGCUUCUUACUUAGUGGUAUUGCUCUGUAGCUUGUGGUAUUGCAGAUAACAACGUUUGUAAUGGUGUGACAUAGUGGGUGAUUUUCCUCUGUUAUCAAUGCAAUCUCAAGAAUUGAUUAGAAUUAUUAGGCAUUAUCUGGGUUGUUGUGUGCUUCUUUUAUUUUAGUAGUAAAUCGAAUGUGAAGUAGGAAGGAUGUGAUGUUACCAAUGCUGAAAUCUAUGGAAAUAGCUCUUUUAAUGUAUUAGUAAUGCUCGGUUAUGAUGCUAUCAGCCUAUCAAUUAGUCUUUUCUUAACUUGCAAAGACAAAACCUGGAAAGGAAUCCCAGGCAAAGGGAUGACCCUGUAUUAUAGAAUGAUUUGAUCUCUUUCAUCCCGCUAAUUAGGAUUUUAAAAAUAUGGCCAUGCAUCACUUGAGACAAAGGUGCACAAGCUAAUCUUUGUAGUUUAUUCUGUUUUGCAAGCAGGUGUUCCACUUGGGCUCUGUAUCACACACUGGCCGCGCAGAUGCGAUGUACAAAUGGAAAAUACCCUGCAGACCCUGAGAAGAAUAUAAGUGGGAGAGAAUCUGUGGUGGGUGAGAGAGGAAAUGUGCACUUAGAAGCAGGGGACAGCCUGCUGGCACUGCCUAUCGCAUCCACCGCCAACAUGUUCCUUCUCUCUCCUUUUCCGCAGUUUGCUGUUUCUCAAGAGUCGGUAAGUAAUAAAUGCCCCUAGUAAUACUCUAGCACAUUUGCCUGCUAAUAUUGAUUCUAUCCAACAUGCAACUUCAUAAAGUUGUAUGACCAUUAAUUUUCUAUUAGCCCAAAGGCAUGGUUGUGAGCACUCUAAAAGCAUUUGUUGUACAAAUUUUAGUGAUCAUUCAAAAUCAAUAUAUCAGAGCAUAUGAAAGUCAAAGACUUUUUUCUAACCAGUUACAGAUUAACACAGAACGGGACCCUUAGGGGUUUAUUUCCAGGUUGCAGAAACUUGGGCUGUAGGCCAAACAUGUGUUUGUUCUUUUUUAGUGAGUUUAACAGUAUUUCUUCUUGUUAAGCUACGUUUGCCUGUCUCCUUUCUCACGUUUAGAAUAUUGUCAAUCGAG
ensembl:lncRNA